rnacentral:lncRNA from 1 species
GGACAGUCAAUACCAAUCCUGCCUGUUCCAUUUUAGCAAUCAGUGGAACUACUCUAGUCAGUUGUACAGGUGGCCUCAGGUGAAAACUCAGGGCAGGACAAAUAUUCAGGAGAUGAGACCUGGGGAAAACAGAUGACAAUGGACAAGUUACAGUCAUUCCUUCAUCCAUCAUCCUUCAAUAAAUGCCUGGUGAGAAUACUGCACACUUGGGUUGGCAAGCUGCUUUGCUGUACUGUCAAUGGGCAUCCUCCUGAGAACAAGAAGUCUGGCAUUCCUAGGACUGUGUCUAGGAAAAGGUAGGAAAAAAAUAGAGGUUUACCAGUUGUCGAAAGAAAAUGUAAACAGCCAUUCCACUUUAUAUACCUUAAACUAUUCGGUCUUGGGAAACUAUUUGCUUUGGAGGAGAGUUUGUUUUCUCAAAAAGGAAAAUAAUCCAUUGAACAUGGAGCUGAAUUGUAUUGAGCUGGAACAGAAAAGCAAGACUGAAAGAAAAAAGGCCAACUAGAUUACUUCUGAGGUAAAUGAUAGAAUUGGAGAAAAU